CAUAAAAGGCAAACUACAGAAUACUUAAACUCUAUGUAAUUUAAUAUUGUAAUACAUAACAUAUAUCCAGCAUAAAUAACUACAUAUAAUUGAGCACUCCUGUGUUUACUGAGAAUUUUACUAGUUACUUUUUAAAACUUACGUGUUUUUCAAUAAAACGUCAGUUCUAUGAGCAUGUUUUGAGUCUGUUCUGAUCCCUGCUGUAGUCCUAGCACAGGAAAACCCUGGAUUAAUGGUUACAUAUUCAUUCUGCACCUUCCUUGCUAUAGUAUAAUUUUGUCACAUCGUUAAUGUGAAUGUAUCAGUUUAUCCUCAUAAUUGAUAAUAAAUUAGCAUUUAUUACGGUUAGGAGUCAGGAACAUGGAAAGGCAAGAACUCUAAUGAACAGGCUGACUAUACAUAGAUCUAAAAACCUCAGAAGAGGAAAAAUACUGUCAAAAACAAAUUUUACACUUUUCCAAGUUAUUCUGCUAUCAAAAUUCUGUCAAUGAAAAACAUAUUUUUGUUGGUAUCUUUUUCUGACCACGAGCAUAAUUCAUAUUUAUUGCAGAACAACUUGGAAAACACAUAAAGGUAUGAAAACUCGAAUGACAGUAUUCAAAUACCAACUUCAUACCAGCAAUAUCAUAGUGUAGAUACAGUGUUUGAUAAAAUGUAGAUGUGGGUAUUUCCACACAUUUAUCUGCAUUUAUACUUAGGUUUUAGGUUGGGGUCAACAAUUUUCUACCUUUCUCUUAUAAAUGAUUUCAAAUAAUGAAACAUGAGUGUUUUAUAAAAACACUGAGUAGCCUAGUAAAUAAUAUUGAAACAUAAUUUUAUGUGCCAUCCUUCAUUCUAACAUACAAUUUUUUGGUUGAUUUUUGACUUGAUUUUAUAGCAUUUUCGAUAUUUUAACUGUUUUCUAAGUCUUCUCUUCUUUCUCUUAGAUGUACUAAAAUAUUCCAGUUUAAGUAGUGGCUUGUUUCCACUAUUUAAUUCCACCAGAAUUCCACCCCCAUGAUGCAGUCACCUCUCACCAGGCCCCACCUCCAACAUUAGGGAUUAUUACUCAAACAUGAGGUGUGGGUGGGAAAACAGAUCUAAACACUAUCACUACUGGAGAAAGUAGACAUCACGGAUGAGGAAAUGAGGAGUUUCAGCACAGAGACAGGAACUGUAACAAAUGGUUAUGUUAGAAAAAAGCAAAGUUUUUUGAGAGAUAAAUAUUUCAUCAGAUGGGCUUACAAUUAUCUCUGUAAUUAACACAAAAAUAACAUGAUACUUUUUUCAAAGAAUAUUUUGAUUAUUCACUCCAGUAGAAAUGCAUUACCAGAUACAUUAGCACAUUUUCUCAGGCAGAGAAAAUACCAGGCAGAAAGUUGAAUCUACAAAAACAAAUUAAAAACCCAGAAAAUGGUAAAGAUGAAGAUACGAAUGUGAAAGGGAAGUAUCUGGAGCCCCCAAAGUCACUAUGUUAAUGUGAAAUUCAAGCUGGGAACUGCUUAGGGCAAACAGGUCUCCCAAUCCAUUCAUAGUCAUCCCUCUGCUCACUGAGAUAAAUGCAUAUCUGAUUACCUCCUUUUGAAAAGUUAAUCAUAACUCAAAGGAAUGCAAUUGUUUCUCUGUCACCUACCUGUGACCUGGAGGCCUCCUCCCCACUUUCAUAUGUACCACUUCUGCUUCAAGUUGUCCCUGCUUUCCAGGGACCAGACUGAACAAAUGUUCAUCUUACAUAAGUUGAUCUAUGCCUCACGUCUCCCAAAAUGUAUAAAACCAAGCUGUGCUCUGACCACCUUGGGCACCUGUCACCAGGACCUCCUGAGGCCGUGUCAUGGGUGUGCGUCCUCACCCUUGGCAAAAUUCACUUUUUAAAUUGCUCGAGACCUGUCUCAAAUAUUGGGUGUUCACACAGAGGACAAUUUAAUAUUUUAUUAAUCAGUCUGUAAUAAUUCAUAGUGUAAACAAAUAUGUGUGUGGGGAGUAGACCUUCAAUAAAAUUUAAAAAUAUAUAUGACAAAGGAUGGGUAAAUUGUACACAUUCUAUGUUUUCACUGUACAUAAACUAGUAUAAUAUUCUUUGAACACAGACUGUGAUGAAUUAAAUAAGAACUUUGUAAACCCUGGAGGAACGACAAUUUUUUUUAAAGUGACCUAACUAAUAAGUCAAGAGUUGAGAAAAUAUCACUGAAUCAUAAAAAUACUAAAUCCACCAUCAGGCAGAAAAACAGGAAAAGUAGGAAUAAGAAAAGAUGAGACAUGGAAAACAAGUAGAAAGCCGGUAAAUUUAAUGCAUGUAUAUAAAAAAAUUAUAUUAAUAUAUAUGAUCUAAAUGCCUCAAGACACAAAUUGUCGAAUUACAUAAAAAUAAGAAACAACAGUGUGCUUUCUAAAACAAACCCAUUUUAAAUAUGAAAACCUAUGUGAAAGUUGGGUAAAAGUAUGGAAAACAUAUUAAUGUAGUCACUAAAUUUUAAAGCUACAAAAUCUUAGAGCUACUAUUAAUUGUUAAAAAUAUAGAGAGCCAGAGAGAGAGAGAGACAGAGAGAGCGCAAGUGAGUAAAUGAAACAUAAAGAACCAUGGAGGUAAGAGAAAUAAAAUGGCACUUCUUGUCUUCCAGCCCAUUAUCUGUCCUGAUUGUCUCUCAUAUUAAUGUCUAUGGGUCAUGUAGCUCCAUAGCCUGAGAAAUAAAUGAAAUUUCUGCUCUCUCCAACCUGGUACCCUCUGACUCUUCUCUACUUCUUUGCAUCCAGGUUGUUGUAUUUUGUCAUUUUUCCGUUGGAAUUUAUUUCUUUGCAUCAUAGCUGGAGAUUUAGGACAACAGAAAGCUUGGCUGAGUGGUUGGUCCUUUCUACUUCGCCAAUAAUUUAAAUGUUUUUUCCUGUUUGAUUUUGUUUUUACUUUUGUUUCUUUGAGACAGGGUCUCCCUGUGAAUUUCAGGCUGGAAUACAGUGGUGCAAUCUCUGCUCCCUGAAACAUCGGCCUCUCAGAGUCAAGGGAGUCUCCUGCAUCAGCCUCCUGAGUGGCCAGGAUUACAACAAAACAAAACAAACCAAAAUCUGCAUGUUCACAUCUCACCGAGGGCAGGAUGUAAAGGGUCUCAGUUUGAAAUUCAGGCAGGAAAACAGUGGCACAAUCUAUGCUCCCGGAAACAUCAGCCUCCUAGAUGGAAGGGAGUCUCCUGCAUCAGCCUCCUGAGUGGCCAGGAUUACAACAAAACAAAACCAAAAUCUGCACGUUCACAUCUCACUGAGGGUAGGAUGUAAAGGUGAGUGCUGGGGGCUAGAAGCUGCAAAGUUUCUUGGCAUAAGUCUUGGUGGCCAUGCGAAGGCAUACACCUAUAUGGACUUGAAUAAAAGCUGCAUGAAUGGGGACCAUUUGGUCUGGGAUGCCACAUUCAGCCAUCCAGCGUGCAGUGCCCUUCACAAGGAGGUGUCAUUCAUGUGGACUAAAACCUGAAUGCUGCCUUCUUGAGAAGAGUAAUGUACAGCAUGUACUGCGCACGUGGUGUCCCUGGGGAUGGGGCUGUAGCUACAAGCACAGUGAUGCCUAUUUUGGGUCCUGUGCACCCUCUCUUCAGUGUGGGGCUACUUCAAGGAACUUUGCUGCCUUGUAGGAGACUAUACAUGGGAACAGUGGACUCCUGAGAAAACACAUCCACUCAGGUUCUUCAAGAAUUUAUCUAUUUUUGCCAAAUGAGUCUUGGUUCGAGCAAUAGAGACAUUUUGUUGAGGCCACUGCCAUUGUUCGUCAGCUGAGAAGUUUUACUCCAGAUUCCCAAUUUCUCUAAACUUUUCUUACCUAUCAACUAGUCAUCAUUUGCAAGGCUCCUCCUUUAGAGCUCCCAACAGACUCUCCUGCUUCUCAGAUCCCUUCAUUACUCAUCAACAGUGUUUGUUUUCUCUGAAGUACUAAAAGAUUUUCUGGUUAACCUUUAAAAUACAUUUCUAAGCUGUAUGUCACCAAUUCAUGAAGGGGUAAGCAUAGUCCACCCAAGAAUAUUUCCCUCUUUUUAAUUAUCUUUUUGUCCCUACUUUUUAAGAAUACAUUUGAAGCAUGGAAGGGUAUGAUAGAAUCGAUACUCAAGAGAUAGCUGCUAGGCUUCUCUCCCCAUUUGCUUGUGGUGACACUUCUUAACCUCAUGGGGAGAGAUAGAGGGCAAUGCAUAUACGCGCACGUGCACACACACACACACACACACACACACACAGAUAGAAACAGAAAUGGUUAUGUUAGAAAAAGCAAACAAAUUAUUUUGAGACAUUUUUUUUUAUGGGCUCACAAUGAUCUCUAUAAUAACCACAAAAAUGACACAAUUUUUUCAGAUAAAGAACAUUUUGAUUAUUCACCCCAGUAGAAAUGCAUUUCAAGACAUGUUAACACAUUUCCUCAGGCAGAAAACAUACCAGGUAGAAACGUGAAUCUACACAAAUAAAAACCCAGAAAAUAAUCAAGAUGAAGAUUUGGAUGUAAAUGGGAAAUAUCACAGCCCCAAAAUCACUAAGUUAAAGGGAAAAGUCAAGCUGGGAAGUGCUCAGGGCAAACCUGCCUCCCAUUCCAUUCACAGUCAGCCCUCUGCUCACUGAGAUAGAUGCUUAUCUGACUGCCUCCUUUGCAAAGCUUAAUCAGUAACUCAAAAGGAUGUGACAUUUUGUCUGUCACCUACCUAUGACAUGAAAGCCUCCCCAUCACACUGAGGUGUUCCACUUUUGCUCUGAGUUGUCCCUCCUUUCCGGUCCAGACUGAACAAAUAUUCAUCUUACAUAUGUUGAUUGAUGUCUCCUGUCUGCCUAAAAUGUAUUAAACCAAGCUGUGCUGGCCAGAAGCGGUGGCUCAUGCCUGUAAUUCCAGCACCCUGGGAGGCCAAUGCAGGCAGAUCACCUGAAGACAGGAUUUUGAGACCAGCCUGGCCAACAUGGUGAUACCCGAUCUCUACUAAAAACAGAAACCUUAGCCUGGCAUGGAGGUACGUGCCUAUAACCCCAGCUAUUUGGGAACCUGAGGUGGCAGAAUCACUUGAAUCUGGAAGCCAGAGGUUGCAGUGAGCUCAGAUCAUGCCCCUGGCACUCCAGCCUGUGCACAGAACAAGAUUCUACCACCACCACCACCACCA